UAGAACAAACAGAGAUGAAACCUUUGUAAAUGUGCUCUUUUCUGCUGGCUUGGAAGAAUGUCCGUCAUGUUUUCACGUUAUACAUCUAAGGAGGUGUGGCCAAGGCUAUCUGUAUCAGGGGUGCAAAUAGACAACGAUAAUCUCAAGAGAAAUCACACCGCAGUCCUCUGCCACGGCUUGUGAAGAGGUUUCGCAGACGGUGGAUGGUGCAGCUGAAGUACCAGACAAUCCUGCUAUUCCUCCAGAAGGAUGAUGCUGAGUGUGGAUCACGUCAUCGUGAAUGAGAACAUCUCUUCCUUCAUCUCGUCCUUGUGCAUGCUGUUUGGGUCUUAUUACUGCUUCAACAUCCAUUACCCAACUGCACUUGCAUCCACCCUGGAGUUCCUACAGAGCUGUUUCUUCUCCAUUAAUCCAGAGAAGGGGACGAAAGUGGAGCGAACAAAUGCAAAGCGCUUGCAUGUCAAUCCAAGAGUCAUUACGUUGAUUCAGGACCUCUCCGACCACGAAUGGCGUUCCGAUUAAAAAGGUGUUCCUCUGAGUGACCACAGCGGUUCAUGUUUCCCUAAAUGUUCUUCAGGGUGUUCUUCUACAUGUUCCCGCCCAUGAUUGGAGAGCCACUUAAAAAGGUGUUCCUUUGAGUGACCACAGCAGUCCAUGUUUCCCUAAAUGCUCUUCAGAGUGUUCUUCGAGAUGUUCCCGCCCAUGAUUGGCGAGCCACUUAAAAAGUUGUUCCUUUGAGUGACCAAAAUACGGGGCUGAUAGUAAGGCAAGACUUCUAACUUCUAGAUGUUCCCGCCCAUGAUUGGCGAGCAAUUUAAAAAGUUGUUCCUUUGAGUGACCACAGUGCUCAUAUCUCCAUUGUUUUUACAAAAAUAAAUUUGUAUUCUUCUGAAUCAUU